CCGGGGCCGCGGCGGCGUGCGGGGGGGCGUGGGGCGAGGGGAGCGGUGUGGGAGGAGGUAGCUGACAUUCAGCGACCGGAGGCCCGAAAGCCCCUCAGCUUUUAGCGGUGCAAGCCGCCUCCCCCGCGGGCAGCUCCCUCGGCGCGGUUUGGAAGGGCGCCUGGCUCCAGCCGGGAGCCCUCCGCUCCCUGCAGGAUGAAUUAUUCAUAUUUGCUCGAAGCGUUUUUAAUUACCCGGCUCUGACUAGUGCAUACGGUGCCUGCUUACCAAUGAAAUGGGUAGGGGAAUCGACUCAGAGUGUGUUUGUGGAGACAUGCAUGUGUUUUGACUUCCUUUCUUGUUAUGUGCUUUGUUUUUGGCGAGGGAGUUAUGGUCACUUGUACAGUGCGUGAAUUGCCGUUUAAAUUCUCCUCCUAGCUGGCUGAAAACCAGCUCAGGUGUCAGAGUUGGGCACGUCUCCUCCGGGGAGACGAGAACAUGGGAAGUUGUAUCUUCUAGGGAGCCCGGGGUAGUUAACCGGACACGGCGUCUCCUCGCGGACGCGGUUACAGAUGGAUAAAGGUCGUGCCUCUUGUGUGCAGAAACAUACAUUGUUAUAACAGCCUCUGUAAGUCGUUAUUGCUUAGCAUGUAUAACUGUGUGUAGACGCUUUAUGCUGAUUGUAACUCUACUGGAGCCACUUAAUGAUGAACACACUGGCUAAAUUUAGCCCUGACAUAAACAGGCACAGAUGCACUAACUUUGGUGGAGUUAUUCCUGCCAUUGCUGGGAAGGAGUUUGGCCUGCAAGUCAAAAUCGGGAUAACAGGAUCCAGAAUGGGCGCUCUUGAAAAUGGCCAUGGUCCCACUUCAGCAAAUGUGAAUUCACGUAUGCCAGAGCUCUGUACAACAGGACAUCUGAGGAGUUUAAAGCACUUGAUGAAUAAACUCAUAUGAUGAAGAAAUAUUACAGCCAUUUUCUGGAUAGUGAAACUGAAGCAGAAAGAAGUUGUUAAGUGGCUCCUCCUUCAGAAAGGAGGAAAAAAACAAAAAAGCAGAUUCCAGAUUUCAGUCCUGUGCUGUGUAUCUCCUGUGCUUCUUCCCCUAGUUCAUGAAGGCCUUCAUAAUAUUUUGUAGUGCAGUUAAGAACAUAAAAAAUGCAUUCCUGGGCUGGCCCAAUGGUCCUUUUUAGCCCUGUUUGUCCCUGAUUAGCACAGGGUUUAACCUUAUAAUUGUCAGGGUCUCAGCUCUGGGUUCCAGUUCAGCCUAUCCUGUGCUGGGAUGUAGCUGAUGCAAGUGAAAGCCCUGUUAGUGGCAACAGGAGGCUGCUAUUUAGCAACAGGAUGUGAGCCUGACUGCUUUCUGCGGUCCUUUCCCCUUGCAGGCCCCUGGCAUCUCUCUUUCUCUCUCUCUCUCUUUUUUUUUUAAUGAUUCUCAUACAGAAUAAUGGGAUAGAUGGACUUGUGGUCUGACCCAGAAGGGCAUUUCUGAUGUCCUUGUUUUCCAGUAUGGCUUAUGAUUUAUCAGUUCAAAGGUCGGUGCAUGAGUUAGAAUGCUGAGUGACAAAGUUCCCUUUGCUCUCCUUGUCUAUCAGUUUUAACACAAGUGAAACAUAUCAAAAGCUACAGCUGAAUUAACUCUCCUUUAGAUUUUCAACCAGGUUUCUGUAGCAGUGGGUUUAACACUACUUUACCAUCUUCAUUCCUCUUCCUGCUCUCUUUUUCCUCCUUUUGUAAAACAUCAAUUUACAAAGCAACUUUAAAAAGAUACAAGAGGAGCAUUGGAAACAAUGUACUGCUUUUGUUGCAACAGGAUUACUGUCCCUUGUCUGGAGAAAAUACUUGAGGUUCCACCUCAUAGUGUAUUCAUUCACGAACGAGACUGAUGCAUCAUAAAACAGUGCUCUGUUCCUGUUACUGCUGAAAUCCUAGUACAGCACUUUGAGAUGUACCUAUUGUCCUGCUUGAAGAUGCAAAACAGUGACAAGAUGAUUUGUCCCUUAAAGAUGGAAAUAUAUUUAUUUCCUAUUCAAAUUCAACAACCCAUUAAAAAUAUGUAAAGUAAGCUUUGUUUGAAGGGUUCUUUUAUUGCAAAUAGUAAGUGCAAGAGGUAGAGGGUUUCUUUAAUCUCAAUUUACUUUAUGUUGAAUAACUGGUACUAAAUAUUUGAACCCAACAGCAGAGUGUUUUUAAGUUCUUAAUCCUUAGAAGAAAUAUUUAUCAUCUAUAAAUGGAUCAUCUUCAGUCAUCACUAACUUAAUUGGUAUGAUUUAGAACUGCCAAGGAAUAUUACUGUUUGGUAAUAGAGUAAAUAUUAGAAGCAUGAAUUUGCAUACAGUCUGCAUACUAAUAACAAUUCUAAGCUUAGGCUGUGAUUUAAAAAUUGUAACUGACUUGUCACAGGGAAUUUGAGAGGAAAAGCGUGUUUAAGAUGGUAAAGUGAGAUAAUAAAACUAGAAUUUGAAUAUAUGAAAUAGACCAAACAUAAACCAGAAACUUUUUCAGCAAGUAAUAUGCAAAGCUACUGCAAAGGCUGUACACAUUCCCCCGUAAAAUGCUGCAUGCCUGGACUUCUUCCCCGAGGAUGAGAAACGAACAAACAGCUCCAGAAGAAGACAGUUCUGAGAAACUGCUGUUUAAUUCUUCUUGAGUCACGUAUCUCUGAUUUGCUGGAGUGUCAAUAUAUUGGCAGUAUUUCAAAAAAUCCUAUUUCUUGUUUUUUUCCCUUCACGUGGCAUCAUCAGAUGCAUAAAUAUUUUUUUUUUUUGACACAAUAACACUACACUGGAAAUAACGUAAAAUCAGGGAUAGUUGGGGGAGGAUUUUUACUAGCCUGAGGCUAGUAAGCCUUUCAAAAGUGGCUAUUACUACAGUGCUGAUCUAUGCUUUCUUUUCUUUGUAGUUCUCAAAGAAUUAAGUUUUCACUUUUGCAUAAUGAAGCAGAUAGCAUCAGAAAACAAACAAGAACAGGAGAAGACUGUGCUAAAUUACUGGGGAAAGUACAAGAAAGAAUGAGAUAUAACGAAGCGUGCGCAAUGGGGACAAUGAUUUGCCUUUGAAACAACCUAUAAAUACGCUGCAAGCCACUUGCAAAACCACCACUAUCAUCACCAUCAAACUGGCAUUUUAUGUAUUUAUAGGUGGCAGAUUAAACAUACCAGCAGUUGUUCAGGAUAACUUGAGGUCAUAUUGCUUAAAGUCUCUGUGUCACAGUUGUUGUUCUCAUUCUGGGACAAGCUGCUGCACACUAGUAUUUUCCCCACUUUCUCUUUGCCUUUUUUUUUCUUUAAGAUAAAAAUCUAUUGUUUCUGAUUGUUUGAGGAAAUAUUUGUAUUCCUCUUUGGUUUUGAUAUGGGAGCAGAGAUUGAUUAAUUUCUAAAUGCUUCUUCCCAAUGACUCCUAUACUAUUUAGUUUUGAACUAAGUCUUGAGUGUCAUCUGUUUUAGAAUGAGGUUGUUUGCUCUACUGAUCUAGAGGUUAGUGUCACUGAGGCUUUCAGGCUUGUGUUAAAUGGGAAUAUCCCUAGAGAAGAAUAAUGAAGAUGGUGCAAGUGUGAAAGGCAAGAGGACAGAUAGGCAGAUACUGUCUAAAAGGAAAAUAAGGACUGGAAAUCUCCUUGUGUCUGUAGUACUACUGAAAAGCAAAUCCCUCUUUCCUUUAGUUUCACUAAUAGUUUGGUGUAGUCCAUUCCAGAGAGUUUUUACUGACAGCAGCCUCCCAUCAUGUUACUGUAGAUGGUGAAAUUGUAGCAUAUAGUGAUGGUGAAACAAGGAAGAUUUCAGGUGCAAGGGUUGGAUAAUUUGUGAAAUCAUGCUGGGAAUUUAUGGCAGAACAAAGAAUAGGACCCAAGUUCCGAAUUGCAGACUGGUGUUUCAAACCAUAUCUGAUAAAAUUUUAUGACUAUGCUUGCUGAGGUACACAUCUUCUUUCUUUUUGUUAGAGAUUUAUGAUUUAAAAAUCAGGUGUUCACACAUUCACUAAAACUGAAGGAAAGAAAGGUCACCACAACUGUGCAACAUUCAGAACCCAGCAUCUGUGUAGCCAACUGGAUGCUCAGUAGAUUAAUGAGGUUCCAGUCCUUGCAUGGACUCAGAGUGUGUUGCCUAAAUCCAUCCAGCUAUUGCUUUUCAGUACCAUUCAUAAAAGGCAUAUGGAUAUUCUCUAAUUUCUGACCUCUUUUAUCACAAGUCUCCUGCUGUAAUGCUGUACUCUUUUUGCUUUGAAAACCAUACUUUUAAAUUUGUCAGAAAACAUGUUAGCUCAUUUCUGAAGUUCUGUUACAUAUAGAGAGACAUGAUAUAAAAAUAAUCUGUCACCGCUAAGGUCAUAGAUCUACUACACUUCGUAGAAAUAGAAUUUUGGCAUUUGUUCUCCCUUAAACCUUGUAAAUACUAUGGUGGUUUUUUUUUUUUUUUUUUUUUUAACACAGUACAGGUAUUGCCUAUCCCCUAUCAAUUCCCACCUUGAUGAUGAGACAAAGAUUUUAGCCACAUAUCACCAGAAUGGGAAGGAGCACAGGGAAAGCCUGCUGUAUUGCAGGUGUCAGCAAGCUACUGUAGGGGCGCAAAGACCACAUGCAGGCAGAUUCUGAAUGGCAAGUAAGAGCUGGCACAGGGCCGAGAGCUGUGACAUAUUGAAAGAGGCAUCUGUGAAAGGCUGAGGAUCCCAAUUUCUGGCUGUCAUGGUCCUCCAAACUCAGUGGCAGCUGGGAGCCUCUGCCUUGGACAGAGGCAAGAUGCUGUCAAUAAGGUGAUUGGCAGUGUCUCUUUUUAAACACAGCAUCCCCUAGUUCCUGCUGAGUUUAUAUCAGCAUGCUCACCAUCUAAUCUCAGAAAUAAAGAUACAAUCUGGCAUGCCACUCCUGAAAGGUAGCAAACCGUUUACAGUGAUAACAACGUGGCAGAAGGCACUGGGAUCCCUUAAAUUAAUCCCAUAUUCAAUAAUCAUGCAUGACUAAAAAUUAUUUAUCUGUUCUGUGCAUCAGUUCACCAACUCAUUCUGUGUCUACAGUACCUCAAACAGUUGUUAGGAUGUUAUUUGAUAUGUAUAAAGCACCUGGCUAUCUCAAAAAGCAUUACACACAGGUAUUACUCAUCUGAACAGAAUUGAUUCUCCUUUGUAGAACUGUUGUUUCUAAAAGUACAUUCAGAAAUAUGUAGUUACAUUCUGCUCAGUACCAUCAGAUUUAGACUUACAUAAAGUAAGCAGAAUUUGCCUGAUAGUUUUUGAUUGCUCUUAAGAAAGAUUUAUAUAUAUAUGUGUGUGUGUGUGUGUGUAUGCAUUUAAUUUCAAGCAUCCAAUUUUCAUUUCUUAUACAUGAUUUAUAUAAGCACUGAAUGAGACCUGAUCAGUACAUAAAAGCUUUGCUGGGAUAGGGACACAUAAUUUAAGAGUGAAGAACGAAAUCAUGUUCCUACCAUAAUGUUAGCAAACAGUAGAAAAGACAGUCAUAUUUGUAAGAACUCCUUUUACUGAUUUAAAAACUUCAUCACCAUUUAGAAAGUUUGCACAUUGUCACUUUAUUUGGACCAGCAAAAUCCUUCCAUGCUUAGUCUGAAAGUCAGUUCUGAAAUGUCAAAUAAAAAUAUCCCAUUUUGAUUAGUCUGUUAUCCCAAAGAUAACAAGGAUCCCAAAGGAUACUAGAAGACAUUAUACAAACACACAGAGCAACUCUACCAAAUUUUAUAUAAACAAAACCAGAGCAACUCUACAAUAUUAUGCAUGGCAGAAAGAUUAUCAUCUUGUCAAAAGUACAUGGAAGAUUAAAGGAAGCAGAAUAUCCUGUAUAGACAAACUGGAUAUAAUGAUAUGUGUGUUUCUACUACUGCAAAAAAUUGCUGAGUGAUUUGUGAUGAUCAGUUUCUUUUUAAUCUCCUCUAAAAGACAGCGCCUUUAUACCCUCUAGCAGGAUUGUAUGAUAGUAGCCUGAUAUUGAGAAGUAGCAGAAUGAACCACCAGCAUAUCCAGCUUGUGUAAUUUUUUCUUUAGUGUGUAUGUAAGGAGCCCAAGACAAGUAGUGACCUCAGUCUAACUUCAGAAAAGAAGAAAUCAGUGUGAGAUCAUGACAAAACAGGGCACAAGAAGGCAUGAAUGCGGCUCUCUGGAGAAAUGUAAAAGACACUAUUGCACCAAUUACAUGCCAGUUUUGGAACUCCAUGCAGCCUAAGCCUAUUGAAAUAAAUAUUCAUAAACUGGAGUGAUGGGGCAGGCGCAUGCAUUGGAAUGAAGUCUGGAGCUGAAAUGCUGUGGUGGAGGCAGUAGGAGAAGAGAAUGCUAUAAACUGUCUGUGAUCCUCAAAUUAAAAAAAAAAAAAAAAAGUCUGGAAACAUUUUAAUGCCAAAACAUGUGACAUCUUUCAUUCCUGUUUUUCUUUUGUCCUUAAUUUUCCAUUUAAUCAAGUGAUUCAAACUUUUCCUAUUUGUGCUACCAGUUGUGGAAGCUGUGUUGCCUAAAGGCAUUUUUAUUUUGCUCCAUUCUAUCCUGACAAAUUCCUGCUUAUACAACAGCCUAUACCUUUAAUAACACCAGUACAACUGCAUCAAUACUAAAACCUGUAUUUCUUAGCAUCAACGAGGCCUGAGAGAACUUGCUGCAGCGCUGGGAUGUGGCAGGAGGCAAUUUAUAAGGAAUUAACUCUGACAGUCACUUUAUACAGCUGAUUUUCAAAGAUCUGGGCACUAAAGAUGUGUUAAUGAGGCUACUGAGGCUUCAUAAUUAAUUAUAUUAGCAUCUCUUUGUUACUCUCUAGAGCAGUAGUGCCUGGUUGACAUUUCAAUAGGAGUCUGGUAGUAUUCUUUGUUAUUAUUAUCCAGGAGUACAGUUAUACCUUAGCUCCCAGAGGGCAAUGUUGCAUGUAAAUGCCUCUGUGAAUUGCAAGAGUCUUUGGAUCUCAGUAAAAGCCCUUCAAGGAGACCCCGCUGGAUACUGAAUGGAUGUCAGUAAAAUUUCUCUAGUCUGGAAUCUCUCUUCAGAUAUGGACUCUCCUCCCCUUUCAUUUCUCCUUUCCCUUCCCUCCCCCCUUCCUUUCUACUGUGCUGGUCCUUCUCACAAGGCUUAAGAACAGCAAUAUCCAGUAUUUUCUGAAUGUUUAGUUCCAAACAUCUAAAGGAAGGAGUAGUGACCUGAACAAAAUAGUGAACAGAGUAAUCUGAAAAUAGCGAAUAUUUUCACGCGCUUGAAUUUCCAGUGCAAUAAAACUAAUGCUGCCAGAAGGAAUCACAGAAGUGGUGAGUCAGAUAAUAGAUGUACAAUUGUGGUGGGAGGGAAAUCGUCUCUACUUAUUUUUUUCCCCUCCUAACAAAGAGGUUUUGCCCCUCUUUGUAAAUGCAGAUGAAAUUAUUUUCCAGUCAUACCACUGCAAAAGCAAACAUGGAGUUGAAAGGUAUUUCCUUUGUAUGCUUCUGAGAGUAGUUAUUUCUGAAUCCAAAAGGGGAAAGAUGACCUUGUCACUGAUGGGAAAUUCUACUCUGAAAACUUUUACAUCACCUGAGAUGACAGUUCUGCUAUUUCAUAUAUUGGUAUGUUCCACUUGCUUGUAUUAAUUUAAACAAAGCUAAUGAAGAAAAAUGCUGGUUUUCACACUAGCUACAAUUGCAACUUUGUCAGGAUUAGGCUAAGUUAAGGGCACAGUUUGACAAACAUUUCCUCUAAGUAAACAAGACUUGGGCAAUCUGUUCCUUACCCUCUUCUCAUUUGUUCCUGCCUUCAAGUGAACCUCUUCAAUCCAACACUGUUCAUGCACCUGUAACAGGUCUGAGUUAAAAACAGAUGUUUUUAUGUGGAUUACUUAAUUGAAAUCAGUUUCCUGAUUCAGUUUAACAUGGAGCUGGACAAAAAAAUGCACUAGCACAAUUCAGGGAUAAUGCAACAGGGAAGAGAGGAGGAAUGUAUGAUAGGGAAUGCAUAGGCAGGGACUCCUACUAAAAAAAAAUUGUCAAACUAUGUCCUGAAAGACUUUACAUUCUCCCAAGCCAGAACCACCUUUCUGUUUUUUGUUCAGACAGCACCUUGCACAAAGGGACCUUAGACUCUGAGCUCUCGGGGCUCUCAGAGCUAUUGCAAUACCAACAAAUAAUAAGCGUUCCUACAGCCUGACACAAAUAACCAAAUUUCACUCGCAGAUCUUCAUCGCUGGCAACAUAUGCAGCAUUUUAUGUAGUCAGAGUUGGAGACUAGUUCUAUUCCUGAGUGCUGUCUCUGGCUCUAAUGAGGACACUGUUAACCUAUCAAUAAAAGAAUUACUUCCCACAGAGCUUUUUAUAUUUAACUAGAUUUUUUUAAUGUGCUUGACAUUCUCAGGUGAAAGCAACAAUAUGUACCAUGUAUUAUUAUAGCAAAAACCUGUAUAUGACAGAUUCCCAUAUAUUUUCCUCUUUUUUUUGUUUCACCUUUUCUGUCACUAUACUCCUACACAAGACUAAAGACACACGGCAAAUGUUUGAAUAAUGCCAACUUGAAACUAAAGAAUUUUAAAUAACGUCCUCACUCUUCACUGAGCAAUGUUCUGUGUGUUUAUUUUAAUCUAGUAUUUCCUGGAUCGAAACAGAGGUUGCUCCCCCUGAGAAUGCAAAUAUCAAUAGUUUCUCUCCAUAACAAGGGAAGUCUUUCAUGGUUCCCACAAAAACAGCUGCCACUUGGUAACAGGGAGAAUGGACAGGAUACACGUAGAGUAAAAUUGUAGUCUUCACUGCUAUUCAUGAGGGGCCAAAUCCUGAGGUGUUACUCAACCUUGUUUAAAAUUCAACAAGAAUUUUCCUGACUGAGGAGAAGACAAAUAAGAUUUUCAGGAAUUGGCCAGAAUUAAAAUCCUGGAAAGCAAACAUUUAUAAAUUCUGUUUGUGGAAAACCUGGCUCCCUCUUCAUUUUCCCAUGAGUGGAGAGGAGGGCGAGAUUAAUUUGAAAGUCUCCUUGCAGGAAAACCUGCAAAAGAACAAAGUAUAGUUUGUCCCAGACCUCUACAGUGUUCUACCCAACUGCUUAGUUAUCCUAAAACUUUGUAUCAGCAUUCAUACAAAGUUAUAAUCCUGUAACUUCUACCCAUUUUGAUCUCUAUCUGCUGUGUGUAGUUAGAAAGACUCCAUCUAGGACUAGACCUCUGCCCUAGCUGUGAUGCAAUUGCAGCCUUUCUUCAGACACCACCACUGAAGGAAGUGGGACUAGUAGCUAUUUCCCCAUGUGAAUUAUGUCAGGGCCUUCUACAUAGAAGUAUGGUUGGCCCAGCUCUUCCAGAAUAACUCCUAGUAUAAAUACUGCAGUAUUCCAGUUUGAAAGUGUCUUUAUUUGUGAUCGAAGAGGAAUACCUCUUCUUGUAAGUGAUCCAUUCUUCCAAUAAAUUCUCUUUAGAGCGUUCAUCACUCAGAAAGGUAUGUAGUAAAAUAACAUCCAUAAAGAACCUAAAUACAAAACCAACCGCAACAGAUACCAUGUAAUCACCAGAUGAUUCCAGGUAAACAACUUGUUCUUCAGCCAUUUACUACGAAACUGUUCAAGCUGUAUUAAAUUUGGUUAAAAUUCUUCCAUUGCCUCAGCACACAAUGGAUUGGCCCUAAUACUGUCCUGCCAAUUUAGUAAUUGUGUAGGAUAGAGCAUCCCUUGGUGUGAAGGCAUCAAUAAAAUCUAGAUAUCUGCUCUUGCAAUACCCUGCAGGUGUUGCAGAUAUUGAAGGGCCACGUUUAUAUUCGCCAUUUCAUGUUUUCAAACAAAAGUUUUUGUACAUUUCAGAUCCUGACUGGGACUGCAAACUCCUCUGGCAAAAGGAAAUGGACGUCCACAUCUGGAAGUGGUGGUAACACAUUUGGAUACCAAGUUGAUAUUUAAAGAUUUUUGCUUUUAAAAACUGCAGUUUAAUAGUGCUGGAUUAAUAACAGCAUCUAUGUAUGUGUCUGAUGGCACAGUCAAUCAACAGUUACAGACGCAGGGCUCCAUCUGAGCCAAGAAACUGGACAACAUCAAUGUCUGACAUAUAAAAUCUGUAUGAAAGUCAAGGUGAAGGUGGGGAACCCCUCCAAUUAAAUGACUCUUUGGAUGGGGACUCUUAAUUUCACAACACAGAGUAUAACUUCAUAGUGAAUUUUCCAGUAAACAACUUCACUUUCUAUUGGAAGACCCAGAUCAGUUCCCUGCAGUAUUCACAACUGUACACCAUUGUCACAGCAGUAUAGAUGGCUUAUGUGAAAAAUAUGAAUAAAACACUCAUCAAUACCUUCAUAUCUUAAAAGCUUCUAUCUCAUGUUCAGAAGUGCCUUAAGUUUAACUGACUUUGAAUUUCAUUUAAUAAUUUUUUAAUAUUUUGAUUGCCUCUUUAUGUCUCAAGCAUCUAGGUACAAUGAGAACAAGUGUUACAUGACCAUCUAGCUCUCCAUAGAUUACAGGAUAGAUUAUAAGUGCUCUGCUAAGUUAAAAAAUGUUGGUAUAGGAAAAACAAAAAUCAGACUUGGUUAACUGUCUAAUGAGAGCUUAAAAAAAUUUCAGAGAGAAUCACUGGAUUUAUUAACUAUAUAAUAUUAGUUGCUCCCUGUUGUCUGUGUUACUGAAUCACCAUGCUGCCUGAAAGACAGUUAUCAACCCAGAAAUAUUUUCAUCCAAGGGUUUAGACUGCAACAACUGUGAGGACACGUGGAAGAUUCUUCAGUCAUUAUCUAACCGUUCCGUCCCCAUGGUCAUGGAGACUCGGCAAUUCCUGGGGGCUGUCAAACUGAUUACACGCAGCAAACCAGCCGGAGCGUCUCUGCCUGCUGCUCAGAGUAAGCACUGAUAUGCCAGUCAGACUUUACUAUCAAGUACAUCCUUAUGUGUUCUCGAGAUGUUUUGCAGCCUUCACCUCACUGGAGCACUAAGUAAUUUAAAAGCUUUCAUAUACUUUAAAAAUUUUUGUCUUGUACUUCAAGUGGGGGAUCUUUGUUCCUAAUAUACAGCCUGUGCCUGCAAGUUCUUUGUGGAGGAGUAGGCUCCCCCCAUAGAUGUGUAAUUCUUAAGCAGCUGUUUGCAUUUCAGCAGCAGGUAAAGUGAUCCUUGUUUCACAUUUUUCUACAAUAAUUUCUGUCAAGGCUGUGAGUUCUUGGGGAUGGAAGGUGCUGUAAAAAUGUAAGUUGCUAUUAAUUAUAUUGAUUUGCAUAACUUUACGUAUGCUCAUUUUGCAUGGCACAAAUAUUCAGAAGGAAAUUUACUCUUCACACAUUGCAUUGUAUUUGAGAGGAUUUAGCACAUUUUCCUGUUUCACUUGCCAAAUCAGCGGUCUGUGUUUAAAAUUCACAGCUGACUUGACAUUCCAGAAACUAAGCAUGAUUACGAGUUAUGUCUCUGUCUUGCAGCAGCAUACCUAGCUAAGGAAAGAAAAAUUGUGAGAUCUGAGCUUUUUACAUUAAGGAGCAAAUCUGAGAUCAUCUUUGUGAAAAGGCUUUGGUUUUUUCUAUUCUUAAGAGAACAUGUAUGAUAUUAUCUUAUUUUGAAUCAGUUACAGAGCAGGAUGGUAGUCCCCUUGUCCUGGCAAAACUCCAGUAUGGUGACUAUAUUCUUAUUAUGCAAGUCCCCCUGAAGUUUGGGCUGGAGAACUUCUUUCUUUACUUCCUAUAUUUACCUGAAAAAUAAGAUUGCUAUUUAACAGCAGUCAUGUUCCACAUAGCAGUAAGUAAAGUGAUUUCUGCAAAUACCUUUCCCUAUUUUGGAAUCCUUCAGAAUCAAAAUAAUUGUAUAUAUUUAAGAUAUUACUGCUACACUCUAUGUGAAUUCUAAGGCCAUUAAUUAUUAUCAACUGCCCCCCCCCCAAACCCAAGAUACCUAUAAAGGAAAAUGGAAACAUCCUCUUCACUUGUCUGACAAAGUCACUGCCAUCCUGAUGGCUGCAAAGAUCUAACUCCCUUACUUGUCAGCAUUGGAGUACUCUUGCAGUGAGUUUGAAAGAUACCAGAUACAAUAUAUUUUUGCAGCUUUAACCACACAACCUAAAGUUCAAACAAGAGCAGGAAUAUUUCCUCUGUAACAUUGAGGGAAAAGAGCUAUUUGUGAUGUAGGCGGAAAAGGUAUUUAGAUAGUAUAAUUCAGGAAAAAAUGUUACUGUCCUAUUACAUUUGAUGCAAUCAGAACUGAGAAAAGCCUUUAAGGAGAAGGUGAGAGAAUGGGGACAUCACCUUCUCUAAUUACAUCACCAUAUCCCAUAUAUCAUAGGAGUAUAACUGUACACUCUAACCCUGCAACAGUUAUUCAAGGACUGAAACUGCCUUAGAUGUCAGUUGCAGGUAAUGAAAAAUAUUGGAAGGCAGUGAAAGGAGGUGACUGAAUAUUUGUAUCUAUUAAACUCCUAAUAUUUAUAUUUUUAUAGUAUCAGGUAUAUUAAACACAUAGUUGCCUAUGAGGUGUCAUGUGUUCUUUCUGAAAAAAUCUUGUAAAACAGCAGAUAAUUCAUGUAACACCAAGGCUUUCUAGUACCUAGAUGCCAUUUUCUUUCUUUUUCCAAUAAAACUACAUAGACAUUCGGAUACCAAAACAGAAGAACAGUUUCAGACUGAGCUGAGACUUGUGCUGCUACUUGCUUCUUCACAAAUAUUUGAGUCAUGUUCCUCCUGAGCAUACAUGUUAACAGUGCAGCAAGAACAAACAGUAAAUCAAUUCACCUGCAAAAGCUGCUGUGUGCUCUGCCCUCAUCCUUCCUAGGGCUCAGAAUCUAUUCUAACUCAAUGGCUUAGUUUUACUUCUUUACAUCUCUAUAAAGCAAGAUGCAAAAAGCUAUUGACCUGUUCUGGGAGGAGAGUGCAGAGAGGACAUUAUUCUGUGAAUUAUUGUCAAAUUCUUUGAGCCAAAUCCCAGGAACAUGUAAGCACCUGUUGUUUUGAGACAUUUCAUUAAAAUGUAGCCAGAAUUUAGACCA